rnacentral:rRNA from 1 species
CACGGGGGGAGCAAGCGUUGUUCGGAAUCACUGGGCGUAAAGGGCGUGUAGGCGGUCAGGUAAGUGAGAUGUGAAAUGCCCCGGCUCACCCGGGGACCGGCAUCUCAUACUGCUUGGCUUGAGUACGGGAGAGGAUGUGGGAAUUCCUGGUGUAGCGGUGAAAUGCGUAGAUAUCUGGAGGAACACCGGUGGCGAAGGCGGCAUCCUGGACCAACACUGACACUGAGGAGCGAAAGCCAGGGGAGCGAACGGG